GUUUAGGCUAUUGUUGUGAUGAUUGGAAAACACUACGCUGUAAUAAGGUCUGGCCACUUCAAGGAUUGAAAGAUGGCGUCCAGCCCUGACCAAGCAAAAGUUAAAGAAAUACAGCAGAAGUUGAGGCGUCUGAACGAUGGGAAGUGUGAUCUUCACGUGGCACUAGACAUCUACUUUAAUGAUGUAACCACCAUGGUACAGACCAUACUACAGACAGGUGAUCUGACGGUAACACACCUGGACCAAAUGUCCCAGAACCUGGACCAGGCCCUAGACUUGAUCUCUAGGACGUACGCACAAUUGUCAGUGACGUUGAUGUCCCAGGUUUAUAAUGUAAACCUUUGUUCUGGUUUAUAAUGUAAACCUUUGUGCAGGUUUAUAAUGUAAACCUGUGUGAUGGACGACCGAUAGACAGACAAACUGAUUAGCUGUCAACAAACAGAAGAAAUUCUACCACUUCAGACAUGUUACAUAACAAAUAAAUAAAUGUAUAUAACCAGUUGAA